rnacentral:rRNA from 1 species
GUAACAGGAAGCAGCUUGCUGCUUCGCUGACGAGUGGCGGACGGGUGAGUAAUGUCUGGGAAACUGCCUGAUGGAGGGGGAUAACUACUGGAAACGGUAGCUAAUACCGCAUAACGUCGCAAGACCAAAGAGGGGGACCUUCGGGCCUCUUGCCAUCGGAUGUGCCCAGAUGGGAUUAGCUAGUAGGUGGGGUAACGGCUCACCUAGGCGACGAUCCCUAGCUGGUCUGAGAGGAUGACCAGCCACACUGGAACUGAGACACGGUCCAGACUCCUACGGGAGGCAGCAGUGGGGAAUAUUGCACAAUGGGCGCAAGCCUGAUGCAGCCAUGCCGCGUGUAUGAAGAAGGCCUUCGGGUUGUAAAGUACUUUCAGCGGGGAGGAAGGCGAUAAGGUUAAUAACCUUGUCGAUUGACGUUACCCGCAGAAGAAGCACCGGCUAACUCCGUGCCAGCAGCCGCGGUAAUACGGAGGGUGCAAGCGUUAAUCGGAAUUACUGGGCGUAAAGCGCACGCAGGCGGUCUGUCAAGUCGGAUGUGAAAUCCCCGGGCUCAACCUGGGAACUGCAUUCGAAACUGGCAGGCUAGAGUCUUGUAGAGGGGGGUAGAAUUCCAGGUGUAGCGGUGAAAUGCGUAGAGAUCUGGAGGAAUACCGGUGGCGAA